rnacentral:misc_RNA from 1 species
AAAUCUGUUCCACAAAAUCUCUCUCGGGCAGAAUCUCUCUCGGGCAGAAUCUCUAAUGCUGCUUCCAUUUGGGAGGUUCCUCUCUUUGCUGGUGUCUCCUUUCAAACCCCUGGGAUGAGCCUUGCAUGACCUUGGCUUGAGCUUGAGUGUGACAGGCAAAGCAGUGACUCUGCCUGAGAGCGAAUGGAAAGGUUGCCAUCCCUAAUUCUUCACCCCAUCUGCAAAAA